UACGAAGGGGGCUAGCGUUGCUCGGAAUCACUGGGCGUAAAGGGUGCGUAGGCGGGCAGGUAAGUCAGUGGUGAAAUCUCCGAGCUUAACUCGGAAACUGCCAUUGAUACUAUUUGUCUUGAAUAUUGUGGAGGUAAGCGGAAUAUGUCAUGUAGCGGUGAAAUGCUUAGAUAUGACAUAGAACACCAAUUGCGAAGGCAGCUUACUACACAAUGAUUGACGCUGAGGCACGAAAGCGUGGGGAUCAAACAGG
rnacentral:rRNA from 1 species